rnacentral:rRNA from 1 species
CCUACGGGUGGCAGCAGUCGAGAAUCAUUCACAAUGGGGGAAACCCUGAUGGGGCGACGCCGCGUGGGGGAAUGAAGGUCUGCGGAUUGUAAACCCCUGUCAUGGGGGAGCAAAUUAAAAAGAUAGUACCACAAGAGGAAGAGACGGCUAACGCUGUGCCAGCAGCCGCGGUAAUACAGAGGUCUCAAGCGUGGUUCGGAAUCACGGGGCGUAAAGCGUGCGUAGGCUGUUUCGUAAGGCGUGUGUGAAAGGCGCGGGCUCACCCCGCGGACGGCACAUGAUCCUGCGAGACUAGAGUAAUGGAGGGGGAACCGGAAUUCUCGGUGUAGCCGU